rnacentral:rRNA from 1 species
AGCGAACGCUGGCGGCGGGCCUAACACAUGCAAGUCGAACGAGCCCUUCGGGGUUAGUGGCGGACGGGUGAGUAAUACGUGGGAACGUGCCUUUAGGUUCGGAAUAACUCAGGGAAACUUGUGCUAAUACCGAAUGUGCCCUUCGGGGGAAAGAUUUAUCGCCUUUAGAGCGGCCCGCGCCUGAUUAGCUAGUUGGUGAGGUAAUGGCUCACCAAGGCUACGAUCAGUAGCUGGUCUGAGAGGAUGACCAGCCACAUUGGGACUGAGACACGGCCCAAACUCCUACGGGAGGCAGCAGUGGGGAAUCUUGCGCAAUGGGCGAAAGCCUGACGCAGCCAUGCCGCGUGGAUGAUGAAGGUCUUAGGAUUGUAAAAUCCUUUCACCGGUGAAGAUAAUGACUGUAGCCGGAGAAGAAGCCCCGGCUAACUUCGUGCCAGCCGCCGCCGUAAUAC